rnacentral:tRNA from 3 species
GAGAACGAGAGGGCGGAUGUAGCCAA